GGAAUUUGCUGCACAGCUAGCAAACCGUCAUGGUACUACGCUGGAAUUCACUGAGCUCCUGAGACCCACCCAGAAGCAGUCUGCAUGCCGAGGCGCUUGAGUUUAUACACUUGUGGCCGUGGAAGUGAUUGGAACACCUGGAUUCAAUGAUUUAGGCUACGUCCACACGUACCCGGCAACACCCUCCUCGCCCAGAAAGCAAACUGAGGUUCCAGAUUUAAAUACUGAUAUGCGCUCUUUGCUCUCUACAUACUACAAGGAAAGUUAUUGAUCACCCUGCCAAGGAUACACUGGGAAAAUGUGACACACACUCCUCAGCUGUCCAUUUCUGGUUACCAUGGCCGGUCAAGGAGUUGAUAAUUGGUGGUCUUUCAUGAUUUGGAAGGUCACCAGAAUUACUCGACUGUGCUUACUUUUUUCAUGCUACUCCUGAAUGGAUCCAAACUGUUUGUCCAACAACAAUGGUUAGCAAUUUUUGGAGUGGAGGCAAUAUAAUCAGAUUUCAUUUGGAGUUGUAAUUUUGAUUCCAUUUACCUUGACCCCUUAAGUUUAGUUACUGUGCUAAACAUGAAAACAUCCAUUUAUUAGGAACCCAGUUGGAGAAAAUCACGUGUCGCUAUUUUAUGUACCACGUGCAGCAACAUGUGCAUUUAUAUUUUCGCCUGGUUUCAUUGUUACACAGCAACACAUGCUUUAAAUUUUAGUUACGCCAACGUGGAUUGACCAUAACAUUAUGCUAUUAAAGAACAAAACAGAAGCAGUCUCCCAUAUUUCUACUGAGUCAUAAGACAAGACUCAAGGAAGAAAAUCUUUUUACUGUAAAUCAAGAGCACUCCUUGCAUUGUCUACAAAUAGUUUCAUUGAUGUUAUGCUUGUUUUGGCCACACCUCUUGGAAGCAUAUAAAACUUUACACUUCCAGUCAACAUCCUGUGGAGCCAGAAAAAGCAUAUUUAUGGAGAAUUCGGGUAGGAAUCAUUGACAGGUUUCUCAGAAGUUCGUCACUGGGCAUGCCUUACUGGUAAAGAGGACGUGUGAGAAUGCAAUAAGUAAUUAGCACUAAUCUAAUCUAAUCUGGUACCCGGAGAUAUCAAGGAUGCACAGAAUUCUUCGAGGCCUCACGUCACAAUUAGGAAUUGCUAAAAUCUUAUCUUAAGUAUUAUGUUUUAGUAUUUUGUUUUCGCCUUGUUUUGUGAAAAAAGAAACUUGAAAAUUCAUGGAUGACAGAUUACAUUUCAUUCUUAAAAAAUAUAAUUUUGAUUUAAGAGCUUGAGCAUACUGGUGGACAACAAUUAGAGAUAAGACAUUAUUUUGAUCAAUUUAAUUUAUGGCAAUAAUUAUGACAUUAACUUUACACUGGAUGGUGGUCUAAUACAUUUGUUGAGCUCUGUAUGUUAUUAUAAAAGACUUUUAAACAAUUUGUAAAUGUAAAACUAAAAAAUACAUUGUGUGCUUUAUUUUUAUUAUUACAAAUUUCCUUAUAAAUUAUUCAUCCGAAAGUGAACUUUUCCGAUAACUUAGGUUUGUAGUAGUUUGACUUGAUGCCAGUGCGCACGUUUGAGGAUGUGAAGCACACUGCAUUCCGCUCUUUAAAUAGAUUAUGUGUAACACGGAAGCACUAAAUUACGUUAGGCCUGAGGGUUUCCUGGGCUAGUAAACCUGUCAACUGAUUUUUACGCUAUUUUUGAUCAACCUGUCCAGGGUGUACUCUGCCUCUUGCCCUGUGACAGCUGGGCUAAGCUCUGACCCUGGAUAAGCGGAAGAAAAUGGAUAAAUGGAAAGACAGCACAUGACUAUUAUAUGAUUAUAACUUUGACUACCCAUACAGAGGCCCCAGUUAAGCAAUACUGUGCUGUGUAGUUACAGUCAAAUGCCUGUCUGAACAUGUCACAGGCAUUGUUGGUUUGUAGUGUUUUUUUCAAGCUUUUUGAAAUGUCAAAAAUGCAUUUAGGGGAAAUAAAAAGAAAAAACAAAACAAACCCAGGAAACAGUAGGAUCAACUUUGAUCUACUCACUAUUGUUCCCACUGUUAAUGGUUUAAAGCACUAUUCAAAAAGAAAAUGGGAUCAUAAUAGAUUUUGUAGGACUUUGUGAUGUUAAUUAGCAAUUUGCACGUAAUAAAUUAACGUCUACUGCAGUGGGAGUGUCCCUUCUUUUUCAAUGUGGCUGUCACACCUUAAAAUUCCAUAUGUUGUUUUCAAUCAAAGAGUAGUAAUUACAUAAAUACAAAUAAAAAUAGAUAGUAAGCUGCUUAUGUAACAUUCAGGUAUGACAAAUAAAAACAAUGGUCACUAAAGGACGACUGACGUAUCUUCUUUUCACUAAAGUGAAUAUAUGCCUGUUAUUCUACUGCAACUAUGCAAAAUGUUGAUUAAAAAAAGAACAAGUAAAUCUAACAUUUGAAUAGGAAAGUUCAGGCAUAGCGUCUUGCUUUAAAAACAACUGAAAAAAGAGGAUUAAGAGAAAUGGUUCACAAAAAGGAAGAAUAAAAUAGUGUUCACUACAUGUAAAUGUGUAGACAUUUAGCUAGUAAGGAAAAAUGUUUAUAUUUAA
ensembl:lncRNA